CGAGGCGGACGGGUGGUCGCCCCGCUCCGUCGAGGAGCGGGGAGGAAAGUCCGGGCUCCGCAGAGCAGUGCGCUGGGUAACGCCCAGUCGGGGUGACCCGAAGGAAAGUGCCACAGAAAUGACACCGCCGGUUCUCCGCGAGGAGACCGGUAAGGGUGAAAUGGUGGGGUAAGAGCCCACCGGCGGCCGGGUGACCGGCCGGCCAGGCAAACCCCGCGUGGAGCAAGACCAAAUAGGAGGGCGCUCCCCGCAAGGGGCCCCACCGGCCGUCAGGCCGGCGGGUGACGAGGCUGCUCGUCCAGCCCUCGGGUAGCGGUCGCUGGAGGCGCCGGGGAACCGGCGCCCUAGAUAGAUGACCACCCCCUCCGCAAGGGGGGACAGAACCCGGCUUAUAGUCCGCUCUCGACCC
rnacentral:RNase_P_RNA from 2 species